AGUGAACGCUGGCGGCAGGCCUAACGCAUGCAAGUCGAACGGCAGCACAAGAGAGCUUGCUCUCUGGGUGGCGAGUGGCGGACGGGUGAGGAAUGCAUCGGAAUCUGCCCAUUUGUGGGGGAUAACCUCGGGAAACCGGGACUAAUACCGCAUACGACCUACGGGUGAAAGCAGGGGAUCUUCGGACCUUGCGCAGAUGGAUGAGCCGAUGCCGGAUUAGCUAGUUGGAGGGGUAAAGGCCCACCAAGGCGACGAUUCGUAGCUGGUCUGAGAGGAUGAUCAGCCACACUGGGACUGAGACACGGCCCAGACUCCUACGGGAGGCAGCAGUGGGGAAUAUUGGACAAUGGGCGCAAGCCUGAUCCAGCCAUGCCGCGUGUGUGAAGAAGGCCUUCGGGUUGUAAAGCACUUUUGUUGGGAAAGAAAAGCAGCCGGUUAAUACCCGGUUGUCAUGACGGUACCCAAAGAAUAAGCACCGGCUAACUUCGUG
rnacentral:rRNA from 1 species